CCAAAGGCUCUUUUCAGAGCCACUAGCUGCUCAAAAAGAGUGCUG
rfam:Ovis aries breed Texel chromosome 5, whole genome shotgun sequence.